rnacentral:rRNA from 1 species
CCUACGGGUGGCAGCAGUGGGGGAUAUUGCACAAUGGGGGAAACCCUGAUGCAGCGACGCCGCGUGAGUGAAGGAGUAUUUCGGUAUGUAAAGCUCUAUCAGCAGGGAAGAUAAUGACGGUUCCUGACUAAGAAGCCCCGGCUAACUACGUUCCAGGAGCCGCGGUAAUACGUAGGGGGCAAGCGUUAUCCGGAUUUACUGGGUGUAAAGGGUGCGUAGGUGGCAGGGCAAGCCAGAUGUGAAAGCCCGGGGCUCAACCCCGGUACUGCAGUUGAAACUGUCCGGCUGGAGUGCAGGAGAGGCAAGCGGAAUUCCUGGUGUAGCGGUGAAAUGCGUAGAUAUUAGGAAGAACACCAGUGGCGAAGGCAGCUUACUGGCGUGUUACUGACGCUGAGGCACGAAAGCGUGGGGAGCAAACAGGAUUAGAUACCCGAGUAGUC